rnacentral:rRNA from 1 species
UACCAGCACCCCGAGUGGUCGGGACGUUUAUUGGGCCUAAAGCAUCCGUAGCCGGUUCUACAAGUCUUCCGUUAAAUCCAACUGCUUAACAGAUGGGCCGCGGAGGAUACUACAAGACUAGGAGGCAGGAGAGGCAAGCGGUACUCAGUGGGUAGGGGUAAAAUCCGUUGAUCCAUUGAAGACCACCAGUGGCGAAGGCGGCUUGCCAGAAUGCGCUCGACGGUGAGGGAUGAAAGCUGGGGGAGCAAACCGG